AGAAUCAACGCUGGCGGCGUGCCUAACACAUGCAAGUCGAACGCGAAGACCCCGCAAGGGGUUGGUAGCGUGGCAAACGGGUGAGUAACGCGUGGGCGACCUACCUCAGAGUGGGGGAUAACCUUCCGAAAGGGAGGCUAAUACCGCAUGACAUCCCGUGUUUAGAUACACGGUGAUCAAAGCCGGGGAUCGCAAGACCUGGCGCUUGGAGAGGGGCCCGCGUCCGAUUAGCUAGUUGGUGGGGUAACGGCUCACCAAGGCUCCGAUCGGUA
rnacentral:rRNA from 1 species